UAGCUCUGGUUUUCCUUCAUAACGUACAAAUCUUUCGCCUUUUACUAAAGAUUUCCGUGGAGGAGAACAAUUGAUUGAGUCUAUGAACUAAUUUUUCAUCGUCCUGCCUUUCGGCGGGG